UGUGCGAGCGAGCCUGCUCGCGAAGGCGUUUUGUCAGUUGAUGCAAAGUUUGCUGAUCCACCGUUUUCGCGAGCAGGCUCGCUCCCACA
rnacentral:antisense_RNA from 1 species